rnacentral:rRNA from 1 species
GGGUUGUGAGGUUAAGCGACUAAGCGUACACGGUGGAUGCCCUGGCAGUCAGAGGCGAUGAAGGACGUGCUAAUCUGCGAUAAGCGUCGGUAAGGUGAUAUGAACCGUUAUAACCGGCGAUUUCCGAAUGGGGAAACCCAGUGUGUUUCGACACACUAUCAUUAACUGAAUCCAUAGGUUAAUGAGGCGAACCGGGGGAACUGAAACAUCUAAGUACCCCGAGGAAAAGAAAUCAACCGAGAUUCCCCCAGUAGCGGCGAGCGAACGGGGAGGAGCCCAGAGCCUGAAUCAGUGUGUGUGUUAGUGGAAGCGUCUGGAAAGGCGUGCGAUACAGGGUGACAGCCCCGUACACAAAAAUGCACAUACUGUGAGCUCGAUGAGUAGGGCGGGACACGUGGUAUCCUGUCUGAAUAUGGGGGGACCAUCCUCCAAGGCUAAAUACUCCUGACUGACCGAUAGUGAACCAGUACCGUGAGGGAAAGGCGAAAAGAACCCCGGCGAGGGGAGUGAAAAAGAACCUGAAACCGUGUACGUACAAGCAGUGGGAGCACGCUUCGGCGUGUGACUGCGUACCUUUUGUAUAAUGGGUCAGCGACUUAUAUUCUGUAGCAAGGUUAACCGAAUAGGGGAGCCGAAGGGAAACCGAGUCUUAACUGGGCGUUAAGUUGCAGGGUAUAGACCCGAAACCCGGUGAUCUAGCCAUGGGCAGGUUGAAGGUUGGGUAACACUAACUGGAGGACCGAACCGACUAAUGUUGAAAAAUUAGCGGAUGACUUGUGGCUGGGGGUGAAAGGCCAAUCAAACCGGGAGAUAGCUGGUUCUCCCCGAAAGCUAUUUAGGUAGCGCCUCGUGAAUUCAUCUCCGGGGGUAGAGCACUGUUUCGGCAAGGGGGUCAUCCCGACUUACCAACCCGAUGCAAACUGCGAAUACCGGAGAAUGUUAUCACGGGAGACACACGGCGGGUGCUAACGUCCGUCGUGAAGAGGGAAACAACCCAGACCGCCAGCUAAGGUCCCAAAGUCAUGGUUAAGUGGGAAACGAUGUGGGAAGGCCCAGACAGCCAGGAUGUUGGCUUAGAAGCAGCCAUCAUUUAAAGAAAGCGUAAUAGCUCACUGGUCGAGUCGGCCUGCGCGGAAGAUGUAACGGGGCUAAACCAUGCACCGAAGCUGCGGCAGCGAC